GACGGAGGAUCCAAGCGUUGUCCGGAUUUACUGGGUUUAAAGGGUGCGUAGGCGGACGAUUAAGUCAGUGGUGAAAGCCUGUAGCUUAACUACAGAAGUGCCACUGAAACUGGUUGUCUUGAGUACGGUUGAGGUUGUUGGAAUGCAUCAUGUAGCGGUGAAAUGCUUAGAUAUGAUACAGAACACCAAUUGCGAAGGCAGACAACUAAGCCGUAACUGACGCUGAGGCACGAAAGCGUGGGGAGCAAACAGGAUUAGAUACCCUGGUAGUCCACGCUGUAAACGUUGAUUACUCGCUGCUGGCGAUACACUGUCAGCGGCUAAGCGAAAGCGUUAAGUAAUCCACCUGGGAAGUACGAUCGCAAGAUUGAA
rnacentral:rRNA from 1 species